CUUCUUCUUCUUCUUCUUCUUCUUCUUCUUCUUCUUCUUCUUCUUCUUCUUCUUCUUCUUUAAUUAAGCUCUCUCCUUUGGGUCUCCGUUCUUUUCUUUUCAGUAAGAAAGAGAAAAUACAGAGAAGAAAAGAAAAAUCAAAUCUUUAUAAUUCUGAUACAUAUAUAGAAUCUCUCUUUUGACUUCUUUGAUUAAAGAAUCCAUUGUUGAGAAGCAAACAUGCCCCAAGAAGAAGGGGUUUUCAUCCACAAGCCAAAAUCAGACGACAAUCCCACGAUUCCCGAUCUCUCUCUUCACAUCAGUCUUCCUGAUAAUGUUAAUAAUCUUCCCUCCAAGUCAUCAGGAUCUUCUCCGAGAUCCCAUCCCGACCACAACAUCAGCAGAAUCCAACUCUCCUUAUCUCAUCCGGCAAGCAACUCAAGAUUCUUCCAUGGCGUUCUUGACACCGAUGACCACACCACCUCUCAUCAUCAUCGUCGUCACCAACUUCUUAAUCAGCAAUAUUAUCCCCUCAAUGGCGGCCUUCACGGCUUGGAUCGCCAUCAGAUUAGCCAAAGGGUUUCGACCAUGAUUGAUGCUCCUUCGACCUCCGAGAAUCUACACCGUCCGAUCAGGGGUAUCCCGGUCUAUCACAACCGUUCAUUCCCUUUCUACCAUCAAAUGCCCUCUCCAUCAUCAUCAUCAUCAUCAUCAUCUUCUCCCUUGCCUUGCUUUGGUGGAGAGUUGGAUCAAGAUUCGAUCUUGAACUCGAGCAAUCGGCCUUUUCAGGGUUAUAAUAACACGUAUCGGUUACAAGGCUCUUCCAGGCUCAAAGGGGUUGUUUCUUCUAUAGAGGCAUUGAAAUCAUCACAUCAUUUGCAUCAAAAUCAUCAUCACCAUAAUCAUUAUGGAAUUGGAUCCUCGGAUUCUUUGUCUCAUGGAAUGGUUAGAUCGAGGUUCUUGCCUAAGCAACCGACCAAGAGAAGCAUGAGAGCUCCGAGGAUGCGUUGGACGAGUAGUCUCCAUGCUCGAUUCGUUCACGCCGUUGAACUUCUCGGUGGCCAUGAAAGAGCAACUCCGAAGUCGGUUCUCGAGCUCAUGGAUGUAAAAGACUUAACCUUAGCUCACGUGAAGAGCCAUUUGCAGAUGUAUCGAACUGUUAAGACCACUAACAAGCCUGCAGCUUCCUCAGAUUUGGAAAUUCUUGGAGGGGCAAAUCAGAUGGGUCUGUGGAGGAAGAUAUCCCCACUUGUGGAAAUGGAGAUCAAAGGGCUCAAUCUGAUGCCUCUCUUCAGCAAGAAAUUGACCUCACUUCCACCAAUUCCACUCCUCUCUGGAGUAAUUCCUCAAGGGAGGCAUGCUCAAGCGACAUUGAUAUGAUGAGAGGAGAAACAUCAACAUCAUUCAGUCACCAACAAAUAUCGACAAUACAAGCCGAGAAUCGUAUCUCAAGUGAUGAAGCAAAUUAUAAGUGUGGAGGAGGUCACAGCAAAAACAAUCCGAGUCUGGAGUUCACUUUAGGCAGACCAGAUUGGCACCGAAAAUGAAUUUUGAUAUACACUCAACCGUGGAUGGAUUGAUAUUGAUAGUUUUUUUUAAAUUAAUUUUUCCGUGUGAUCAUCGAUUAUAAAAAAAAAAGCUUGACGAGAUUGGAAAAUCACCACAAAUGUGUGAAGUUUGGUUCUUUUGGAAGUCUUCUUUUGGGAUAGAGGGUUUUAUGUAUUUAGGACCACGACCACCCAUGUUUCUUUUUUUAUAAUUUGUGUGGGGCUUUAUUAAUAAUGUUCCAUGCGUAGAGGGAUACAAUCUUCACAUAUUUAUGUUCCAUAUUGUACCUAUAUAUAUAUAUAUAUAUGCGUGUGCAUGCAUAUAUAUAUGAAAGUUUGGAUU